rnacentral:lncRNA from 1 species
AUAUUGAAAUGUCUAUAUUUUUCAUCUUAUCGACUUCUUAAUGACAAUGAAACAAAUAAUGUAACAUUUUUAUAUAAAAAUGAAAUGUGACUUAUUAAUGAAAAAAUAACAAAUAAUACGACCUUUAGAUAUGUCUUACACCUAUUAUGACGAGGCCAUAUAAUUCGAAGUGGAGUGCCAAAUGGCGUCUACCUCGAAGCAAUGAAAUCACUAAGAUUGCAACUACGGAAAGAUCCAACUUCAUAAAUUUCGACUCAAAAAGAAGAGCCGGAACAAUUCUAAUAGUUAACCUCACAUCUAGGUCGGAACAAUAUAAUCUCACUCGUGCCAAGGGAGUCAUUUCAACUGCUCAGAUGCCAUGGAGUUUAUUAUUUUCCUCUGCACCACCAACACAGCAAAUGAAAACGAGGUAGAUAUAGUGCCAUAAGGUGAUUUGGCAAUUCACAAACAAUCACCACCUGAACUGAUCUGGGGGCUGAAGAUUGAAAGAGAAAGAUGCAACUUGAGAAAAAGUUAGUUUUCAUCGUUGAAGACCAUGCUUUAUGCUUUGAGUUGGUGGAAGAGUAAUAUUUGAUCGUGCAUCUUGACAAGGCCAAGGACAAAAAGAAGACAAAUUUCACUUAUGCAUUUCAAAUGAUCUCUCAAUGAGAUGCUUGGUGGGGAUGACUGCAUGCUAGUAUCAAGAAAAAGAAGUUAAAAUCUUAUUCGUUAAGUCUAGCUGUGUCCAAUAAUAUAUAACAAACGAACAUAUCAAUAUUGUUAAUUGAAGCUCCUAAUAAUUUGGAUAAACGUCUAUAAAAAUCUCACCAAUGGGUAACCAUCUAUGAGAUGAAAGCACGGCCAGGCAUUUUAUCA